rnacentral:rRNA from 1 species
UGGGGAAUAUUGCACAAUGGGGGAAACCCUGAUGCAGCGACGCCGCGUGGAGGAAGAAGGCCCUCGGGUUGUAAACUCCUGUCUUUGGGGACGAUAAUGACGGUACCCAAGGAGGAAGCCACGGCUAACUACGUGCCAGCAGCCGCGGUAAAACGUAGGUGGCAAGCGUUGUCCGGAAUUACUGGGUGUAAAGGGAGCGCAGGCGGAGCGGCAAGUUGGAGGUGAAACCCAUGGGCUCAACCCAUGAACUGCCUUCAAAAUCUGUCGGUCUUGAGUGGUGUAGAGGUAAGCGGAAUUCCCGGUGUAGCGGUGGAAUGCGUAGAUAUCGGGAGGAACACCAGUGGCGAAGGCGGCUUACUGGGCACUAACUGACGCUGAGGCUCGAAAGCAUGGGUAGCAAACAGGAUUAGAUACCC